rnacentral:rRNA from 1 species
UACGUAGGGGGGCAAGCGUUGUCCGGAUUUAUUGGGCGUAAAGAGCGUGUAGGCGGUUAGGUAGGUCCGUUGUGAAAACUCGAGGCUCAACCUCGAGACGCCGAUGGAAACCAUCUAACUAGAGUCCGGAAGAGGAGAGUGGAAUUCCUGGUGUAGCGGUGAAAUGCGCAGAUAUCAGGAAGAACACCCGUGGCUAAGGCGGCUCACUGGCCCGGUACUGACGCUGAGGUGCGAAAGCGUGGGGAGCAAACAGG